rnacentral:rRNA from 1 species
UACGUAGGGUGCGAGCGUUGUCCGGAAUUAUUGGGCGUAAAGAGCUCGUAGGUGGCGUGUCGCGUCUGCCGUGAAAGCCCAUGGCUUAACUGUGGGUCUGCGGUGGAUACGGGCAGGCUGGAGGCUGGUAGGGGCAAGCGGAAUUCCUGGUGUAGCGGUGAAAUGCGCAGAUAUCAGGAGGAACACCGAUGGCGAAGGCAGGUCUCUGGGCCGAUACUGACGCUGAGGAGCGAAAGCGUGGGGAGCGAACAGG